rnacentral:misc_RNA from 1 species
UAUCAUACAACGGGGGAGGUGCUUGGGCUGUAGCUGACCUUUCAACGGGUCGUGCACGCCUGAGCGCGCUCUCACACAUCCAUCUCACCCCUCUGUGCAUCACCGCGUGGGUCUUCCUUUGCAGGAGGGCUCGCGUUUUCACACAAAAACUUGAUACAGUGUAGAAUGUUACCUUUUGCGGUCACACGCAAUCAAUACAACUUUCAACAACGGAUCUCUUGGCUCUCGCAUCGAUGAAGAACGCAGCGAAAUGCGAUACGUAAUGUGAAUUGCAGAAUUCAGUGAAUCAUCGAAUCUUUGAACGCACCUUGCGCCCUUUGGCUAUUCCGAAGGGCAUGCCUGUUUGAGUAUCAUGAACACCUCAACUCUCAUGGUUUGCCAUGAUGAGCUUGGACUCUGGGGGUCUUGCUGGCCUGAUGGUCAGCUCCUCUCAAAUGAAUCAGCUUCCCAGUGUUUGGUGGCAUCACAGGUGUGAUAACUAUCUACGCUUGUGGUGUCCUCCCAGGUAACCUUCAGCAAUGGAGGUCACUGGAGCUAAUAAAUGCACAUCUCUCAUCGUAGAGACGGCUUUUUAGAUGUUUGAUCUCAAAU